rnacentral:rRNA from 1 species
AGAGUUUGAUCCUGGCUCAGGAUGAACGCUGGCGGCGUGCUUAACACAUGCAAGUCGAACGAACCUUCGGGUGAGUGGCGGACGGGUGAGUAACGCAUGGGAAUCUGCCCUCAGGAGGGGGAUAACGACUGGAAACGGUCGCUAAUACCCCAUAUGCCGAGAGGUGAAAUGAAUUUCGCCUGAGGAUGAGCCCGCGUCUGAUUAGCUAGUUGGUGAGGUAAGAGCUCACCAAGGCGACGAUCAGUAGCUGGUCUGAGAGGAUGAUCAGCCACACUGGGACUGAGACACGGCCCAGACUCCUACGGGAGGCAGCAGUGGGGAAUUUUCCGCAAUGGGCGAAAGCCUGACGGAGCAACGCCGCGUGAGGGAUGAAGGCCUCUGGGCUGUAAACCUCUUUUCUCAAGGAAGAAGAUCUGACGGUACUUGAGGAAUAAGCCACGGCUAAUUCCGUGCCAGCAGCCGCGGUAAUACGGAAGUGGCAAGCGUUAUCCGGAAUCAUUGGGCGUAAAGCGUCCGCAGGUGGCUUUGUAAGUCUGCCGUUAAAGCGUGGAGCUCAACUCCAUUUCAGCGGUGGAAACUACAAAGCUUGAGUGUGGUAGGGGCAGAGGGAAUUCCCGGUGUAGCGGUGAAAUGCGUAGAUAUCGGGAAGAACACCAGUGGCGAAGGCGCUCUGCUGGGCCAUAACUGACACUCAUGGACGAAAGCCAGGGGAGCGAAAGGGAUUAGAUACCCCUGUAGUCCUGGCCGUAAACGAUGAACACUAGGCGUCGGGGGAAUCGACCCCCUCGGUGUCGUAGCCAACGCGUUAAGUGUUCCGCCUGGGGAGUACGCACGCAAGUGUGAAACUCAAAGGAAUUGACGGGGGCCCGCACAAGCGGUGGAGUAUGUGGUUUAAUUCGAUGCAACGCGAAGAACCUUACCAGGGUUUGACAUCCUGCGAACCCCUGAGAAAUCGGGGGGUGCCUUCGGGAACGCAGUGACAGGUGGUGCAUGGCUGUCGUCAGCUCGUGUCGUGAGAUGUUGGGUUAAGUCCCGCAACGAGCGCAACCCACGUCUUUAGUUGCCAGCAUUUAGUUGGGCACUCUAGAGAGACCGCCGGUGAUAAACCGGAGGAAGGUGUGGAUGACGUCAAGUCAUCAUGCCCCUUACAUCCUGGGCUACACACGUACUACAAUGCUACGGACAAAGGGCAGCGAACUCGCGAGAGCAAGCAAAUCCCAUAAACCGUGGCUCAGUUCAGAUCGUAGGCUGCAACUCGCCUACGUGAAGGAGGAAUCGCUAGUAAUCGCAGGUCAGCAUACUGCGGUGAAUACGUUCCCGGGCCUUGUACACACCGCCCGUCACACCAUGGAAGUUAGCCACGCCCGAAGUCGUUACUCCAACCCUUGUGGAGGAGGAUGCCGAAGGUGGGGCUGAUGACUGGGGUGAAGUCGUAACAAGGUAACC